AGGGACGUAGCUCAACUGGUAGAGUAGUGGUCUCCAAAACCAUUGGUUGAAGGUUCGAUUCCUUCCGUUCCUG
rnacentral:tRNA from 1 species